CCUACGGGAGGCAGCAGUGAGGAAUAUUGGUCAAUGGGCGCAAGCCUGAACCAGCCAAGUCGCGUGAGGGAAGAAUGCCCUAUGGGUUGUAAACCUCUUUUAUACUGGAAUAAUAAUGACUACGUGUAGUCAGAUGCCCGUACCUUAUGAAUAAGCAUCGGCUACAUCCGUGCCAGCAGCCGCGGUAAUACGGAGGAUGCUAGCGUUAUCCGGUUUUAUUGGGUUUAAAGGUUUCGUAGGCGGUCUUUUAAGUUGGUGGUAAAACGUCGGGGCUUCACCUUGAAUGGCCAGUGAAACUGGAGGACUUGAGUACAGACGAGGUAGGCGGAAUACGUUGUGUAGCGGUGAAAUGCUUAGAUAUCACGUAGAACCCCGAUAGCGAAGGCAGCUUACCAGACUGUUACUGACGCUGAAGCACGAGAGCGUGGGUAGCGAACAGGAUUAGAUACCCGGGUAGUC
rnacentral:rRNA from 1 species